GGGGGUGAAAAGGGCUCGACCUAAGUAAAGGGAUAAAGGUAGCAUGCCGCGGAUGCUAAGUUGGCCGCGCUAUAAAACCUUAGCAAAAAAUAAACGCCGACACUUUAGUUAACCGGUUACCAUUGGCAACAAUGGUGCCGGCAGGCGUAAAAGUCCCUAUCCUCAAUUAAGGAUAGGGCCUCAAGCCUCUAGUUGCCUGUAGCUUAGGCUUGAGUUGAAAAUACAGGCUGGUUCGCAAGAUCUAGCCUUUGGUCUUGUGAACGAGAACUUUAAAGGCUAGGGUUUAUUCCAUCCUGUCUAUCGGAGGGGAUAGACCUAAAUUUAAAAGAUAGACUAAGCAUGUAGUGACUUUUAUUCCUUAUACUUAGGGACGCGGGUUCGAUUCCCGCCACCUCCACUA
rnacentral:tmRNA from 1 species